rnacentral:rRNA from 1 species
CCUACGGGGGGCAGCAGUGAGGAAUAUUGGUCAAUGGACGCGAGUCUGAACCAGCCAAGUCGCGUGAAGGAUGACUGCCCUGUGGGUUGUAAACUUCUUUUGUAUGGGAAUAAAAUCUUCGACGUGUGCCCGUUUGUAUGUACCUUAUGAAUAAGCAUCGGCUAACUCCGUGCCAGCAGCCGCGGUAAUACGGAGGAUCCGAGCGUUAUCCGGAUUUAUUGGGUUUAAAGGGUGCGUAGGUGGUUUGUUAAGUCAGGUGUGAAAGGUUGGGGCUCAACCGGAAAACUGCAGUUGAAACUGGCAGGCUUGAGUAUAGUAGAGGUGGGCGGAAUGCGUGGUGUAGCGGUGAAAUGCUUAGAUAUCACGAAGAACUCCGAUUGCGAAGGCAGCUUACUGGACUGUAACUGACACUGAGGCACGAAAGCGUGGGUAUCAAACAGGAUUAGAUACCCGAGUAGUC